GACGAACGCUGGCGGCGUGCUUAACACAUGCAAGUCGAACGGAAAGGCCUGCUUUCCCUUGUGGAUUGCGGGUACUCGAGUGGCGAACGGGUGAGUAACACGUGAGUGAUCUGCCCCCAACUUGGGUAUAAGCCUGGGAAACUGGGUCUAAUUCCCGAUAGGACUGCAGGGUGGUGCCUGUGGUGGAAAACGAUUUUCUAGUGGUUGGGGAUGAGCUCGCGGCCUAUCAGCUUGUUGGUGGGGUAAUGGCCUACCAAGGCGGCGACGGGUAGCCGGCCUGGGAGGGUGGACGGGCACAUUGGGACUGAGGUACGGCCCAGAAUCCUACGGGAGGCAGGAGUUGGGAAUAAUGGACCAUGGGCGGAAGCCUGAUGCAGCGACGCCGCGUGGGGGAUGACGGCCUUCGGGUUGUAAACUCCUUUCGACCGCGAGGAAGCCACCUGGUUGGAAGGGUGGUGACGGUAGUGGUAGAAGAAGCACCGGCUAACUACGUG
rnacentral:rRNA from 1 species